UACGGUAGGGUGCGAGCGUUGUCCGGAAUUAUUGGGCGUAAAGGGCUCGUAGGCGGUUUGUCGCGUCGGGAGUGAAAACACUGGGCUUAACUCAGUGCUUGCUUCCGAUACGGGCAGACUAGAGGUAUUCAGGGGAGAACGGAAUUCCUGGUGUAGCGGUGAAAUGCGCAGAUAGUCAGGAGGAACACCGGUGGCGAAGGCGGUUCUCUGGGAAUAUCCUGACGCUGAGGAGCGAAAGCGUGGGGAGCGAACAGG
rnacentral:rRNA from 1 species